GAUGAACGCUAGCUACAGGCUUAACACAUGCAAGUCGCGGGGCAUCAUGGAGGUUGCUUGCAAUUUCUGAUGGCGACCGGCGCACGGGUGAGUAACGCGUAUCCAACCUUCCCAUUACUACGGCAUACCCCGUUGAAAGGCGGCCUAAUUCCGUAUGCAGUCCGAAGCAGUCAUCUAAUUUGGACGAAAGGUAUAUUCUAUCGGUAAUGGAUGGGGAUGCGUCCGAUUAGCCAGCCGGCGGGGUAACGGCCCACCGGGGCAUUGAUCGGUAGGGGUUCUGAGAGGAAGGUCCCCCACACUGGAACUGAGACACGGUCCAGACUCCUACGGGAGGCAGCAGUGAGGAAUAUUGGUCAAUGGGCGUAAGCCUGAACCAGCCAAGUAGCGUGCAGGAUGACGGCCCUAUGGGUUGUAAACUGCUUUUAUGCGGGGAUAAAGUUGGGGACGUGUCCCUUUUUGCAGUACCG
rnacentral:rRNA from 1 species